rnacentral:rRNA from 1 species
AGUGAUCUAACCUUCGCCAACAUUUUCAAGUCCCACGCUAACUGGAACCCCUUGCUGCUUCGCUGACGAGUGGAGGACGGGUGAGUAAUGUCUGGGAAGCUGCCUGAUGGACGCGGAAAACUACGGGAAACUGUAGCUAAUACCGCAUAAUGUCGCAAGACCAAAGAGGGGGACCUUCGGGCCUCUUGCCAUCGGAUGUGCCCAGAUGGGAUUAGCUUGUUGGUGGGGUAACGGCUCACCAAGGCGACGAUCCCUAUCUGGUCUGAGAGGAUGACCAGCCACUCUGGAACUUAUACACGGUCCACACUCCUACGGGUGGCAGUAGUGGCGAAUAUUGCACAAUGGUACCAAGUCUUAUUCUCCCAUGCCGCGUGUAUGAUAAAGGCCUUCCGGUUGUAAAUUUCUCUCUCGGUCC